CCUAAGCAUAUAUGGUGGCUAACUUACGAAGAUCGGAGUUAUUGAUAUGGUGGUCUACGCGAGCGGUCGAAGACUAGGUGAUCACUAAGUGAUCCCGAACACCUACUUACGUCAAACAUAACCCCACCGUGUUCCCGAUCGAAGGGAGGUCUUCGAACGAGACAGUCACGGUUACGCACACAGUUGGCAGUUUUAUUAGAGUUAAUUCAAGUUAUCUAUAACCGGAUGUUGACAAAUUAUCCAUGUUGCCACAUAACCGCGGGCGCGGCUUUCCGAAAGAUUAAACCCUGCAGGGGUGCUCCAACUAGUCCAUCACAAACGGUCACGGGCCGUAAAAUAAUCCUCUAUCACGAAUCUCGUGAUCUCGUCGGAUUCCUUAGAGGAAAACCUCAACUUUGAGGAGGCCCAAAGUUUCACCGGGAUUCCUAUACGGAAGAUAUAUCGCUAAGGUAAGACAAAUCUAGCAGGACCUCCCGUCGUGUCGACGAUCCCGAUAAGAUCCGCGUAUCUCAGUCUCAGGACAUGACGGAUGAGCGACGCGUACAGUGGCUUGAUAGAAAUCACUCAAGUUGCCCUGAGUUGGCCCCGCACAGUGCUCUAGUUUGGACCAACACUCAUGAGGAGCACUGGCCCGGGUUGUUGAUUAAAUCCUCGGGGUAGCAAAUUAUUAUUAGGUGAUUAGCAAAUUAAAAACCAAUGUUGGGUCCUGCCGGACAAGCCUUAACACUACACGAUUUAUCAUGGGGGUUCCCAUAACAACCCCGAACGUGUUAGGAGCGAUCAGUUAUGGAAUCAAACACCGGUAGCCGAAACUAAGGCGGCAAUAACGGAACAAAUCACCCGACAGAAGGCUAGGCCUUCCGUCAUUUACCAAGUAUAUAGGUGCAUUAAUUAAAUAGCAGUUUAAUCAUAAUGAUAUCAAAAUACUCAUGUUAUCACAUGAGACAGCUGACACCUGCAACUAGCAAAGCUAACCAUUAGAAGAGGAGCAAGCCUACUUAGCCAAACAACAUUAGCUAGGAGGGGAUGGUGUUUGGGUUUCAUGGCAAUAUCAGGAGGCAAUUAUAUCAAGUGGUAGGCAGCGAGCAUUUAUCAAAGGAAACGUGAUUCUAAGCAUAACAAAGCUAGAUACGGUAUCAAGGUCACGGUCAUCUUGCCUGUGAUGUCUUCAGCUUGGAACUGCUCUUGAUCGUCCUGCACGUACUCUUUAGAAUCCACGUACUCGCUCUCCGAUCCCGGUGCUACCCAAAAUAAAAAUAACAGCCAAUGAACACCAACACAACAUGAUGCAACAAACAACAUUAUGCAUGAGAUGAGAAUGAAGCAUGCAUCACUAUUCUAGUCACUUGCAUAUGCAUGAGAAGAGAAGAUAAACUUCUGGAUAGAACUUCAUACUAAGCUAUCUUGACAUGCAUGAGGAUGGUAUGAACAGGUGCAUCACGAGAAACCGAUGCAAAAACGUAUAAAGAACGUUGAGAACGAAGCUACGGAUCAACCGGAAAUUACGAAACAAGAUAUGGAGUCCUACGGGUCAAAUCAACCACAAGCACACUCCAAUGGCACUCUUCUGGUGUUUCCAGGUUGCCACAUGAUCAAUCAAACAAAUAUAAGUGGGGUGGUGCAAAGAAACUCACCACACCACCAACAAUACUCACACAAGCUUCAAAACAACUAAAACAUGCAAUCUGUCCUAAACAACAUCAUAGCAGUUUGUCUACAACAUUCAAAGUACCUACAACCACCCAAAUGAGCCAAACAAGAUAUGUGGCAAAAGUCAUUCAAAAGCUCUACAAGCCUGAGCAAGAAGCUACUGCAAAGGCAUCACACAUAAGAAUAUCUAUGGACACAAACUUGGACAAAAACAACAUAUUUCUGGGACGUAGUGAAAAUCUCAGAUUUUCACCAGCUGCUUAUGCUCUGAAGCAUUUUGACAGCCUCCAAAAUGAUAUCUACAGGAAGUGAAAGUGCAUGAAAUUUAACAGAGAGCUAGACAACCCCAAAAGCUCACAAACCUUAGUUUGUUGCAGGGGUUGAUUUCCAACACACGAGCUUGUGCAACCACAUCAACAAGGGAAGAAAAUAAUAACAGUUUCUCAGCAACAUCAACCACAUCAACCACAUCAAUAAGCUGACUAUUUCAGCCAAGUGUCAACUUUGACAAGGCACAACAAGUUCAUACAAACUCCUAUGUAUAAAACAAAGACUCCAUGUUGUAGAGGGGUUUACCCACUACUGCCACAACAAGGAUUCAUCCUCAUAGGCCCAACACACCACAUGGCACCAAGCUCUAAACAUAGCAUCAAGACAGAAAAAUGACAGUUUAUGAAAUUGCUUCAAAGUGAAAUUUGAUUCCACCAGUGGAUUCCUGGAUGAUUCUACCCCAAAAGCAUAUAUAAUACCUGAGUACUUGCAUGGGACAAGUAGGCACAAAGCUAGCUCGAAAAACUACAUAGAGAUCAACAUAAGCAUAUAAGAGCAUAUCACAUGUGUAGAAAUCAUAUGUAGCAUCUCCUACUCCUACACAUGCACAUACACAAGCUCAUCUAUCACUACAUCACACCAUAGUGGCAAGCAUGAAGGGUUAGCCCUCAUGCACAAGUGCAUGGUGCACUCAUGCCCCCACACACACAUGCAUGACCACAUACACACAUGCAUAUCCACACACAAGCAUACACUCACAAAACUACCACAUACAUACACUCACACACUCUAGGGGUUCAAAAGAACACCUCAUGCUUACUAAUGCAACCAUGAGCAUAAUUGCCCAUGUGUGUGUGACACACACACACACACUACCACCACACACACACAUACAUGUGUUGGUGCACACUUGCACAACUAUGUGGGGGUAACCCACACACUUACUCACAUGCACACACUAGUGCAUAUGCCCUCAUAAACACAUACACACAAGCACCACCUACACCUGCAUCAACUACACUCAUACCAUGCAUACCAUACUCACAUAUUCACACCUACAAGUGCACAACAAGCAACCACAAGCUAAAAUAAAGGGGGGGGG
rnacentral:lncRNA from 1 species